GUCAGGAUGGCCGAGCGGUCCAAGGCGCUGCGUUCAGGUCGCAGUCCGGUUUCCGGGCGUGGGUUCGGAUCCCACUUCUGACA
rnacentral:tRNA from 1 species